rnacentral:tRNA from 1 species
CGGGGUGUAGCUCAGUUUGGCUUAGAGUGCUUGCUUGGGGUGCAAGAGGUCGCCUGUUCAAGUCAGGUCACUCCGA